rnacentral:rRNA from 1 species
GAUGAACGCUAGCGGGAGGCCUAACACAUGCAAGCCGAGCGGUAUUUGUUCUUCGGAACAGAGAGAGCGGCGCACGGGUGCGGAACACGUGUGCAACCUGCCUUUAUCUGGGGGAUAGCCUUUCGAAAGGAAGAUUAAUACCCCAUAAUAUAUUGAGUGGCAUCAUUUGAUAUUGAAAACUCCGGUGGAUAGAGAUGGGCACGCGCAAGAUUAGAUAGUUGGUGAGGUAACGGCUCACCAAGUCAAUGAUCUUUAGGGGGCCUGAGAGGGUGAUCCCCCACACUGGUACUGAGACACGGACCAGACUCCUACGGGAGGCAGCAGUGAGGAAUAUUGGACAAUGGGUUAGCGCCUGAUCCGGCCAUCCCGCGUGAAGGACGACGGCCCUAUGGGUUGUAAACUUCUUUUGGAUAGGGAUAAACCUACUCUCGUGAGAGUAGCUGAAGGUACUAUACGAAUAAGCACCGGCUAACUCCGUG